AUAUCACAUUGAAACACCAAUUCUCGUACGAUCACCGAAGUUAAGCAACGUCGAGCUUGGUCAGUACCUAGAUGAGUGACUGUUUAGCAAUACAAGGUGGUGU